ACCCGCACAAGCAGCGGAGCGUGUGGUUUAAUUCGUUGCUACACGAAGAACCUUACCUGGGUUUGACAUAUAGGUUGUAGGGAACUGAAAGGGACCGACCUUCGGGAGCCUAUACAGGUGUUGCAUGGCUGUCGUCAGCUCGUGUCGCGAGAUGUUCGGUUAAGUCCGCUAACGAGCGCAACCCUCGUCGUAUGUUAUAUGUGUCAUACGAGACUGCCGGUAAAAGCCGGAGGAAGGUGAGGAUGAUGUCAAGUCAGCAUGACCUUUAUAUCCAGGGCUACACACACGCUACAAUGGUCUGUACAAUGGGUAGCCAAGCCGCGAGGCGGAGCCAAUCCUGAAAGCAGGCCUCAGUUCAGAUUGCAGUCUGCAACUCGACCGCAUGAAGCCGGAGUUGCUAGUAACCGCAGGUCAGCAAUACUGCGGUGAAUACGUUCCCGGGUCUU
rnacentral:rRNA from 1 species